rnacentral:rRNA from 1 species
AUUGAACGCUGGCGGCAGGCCUAACACAUGCAAGUCGAACGAGUGGCGGACGGGUGAGUAAUGUCUGGGAAACUGCCUGAUGGAGGGGGAUACCUACUGGAAACGGUAGCUAAUACCGCAUACCAUCGGAUGUGCCCCGAUGGGAUUAGCUUGUUGGUGGGGUAACGGCUCACCAAGGCGACGAUCCCUAGAUGGUCUGAGAGGAUGACCAGCCAUGCUGGAACUGAGACACGGCCCAGACUCCUACGGGAGGCAGCAGUGGGGAAUAUUGCACAAUGGGCGCAAGCCUGAUACAGCCAUGCCGCGUGUAUGAAGAAGGCCGUCGGGUUUCAAAGUACUUUCAGCGGUGAGGCGUUACCCGCAGAAGAAGCACCGGCUAACUCCGUGCCAGCAGCCGCUGUAAUAC